CGUUCGUAUGAUCAAAACUUUUUGGCAUACUCUAGGAAGGAGAGUAAAUGAUUUCACAUCUCGAUAUUAUAACUAGUGAAUCCUGGUAUUCUUUUAAAACUUUACUCUCUAUGUUACAGCCUUCCCAUAUUCAGAAACGCACAAGCGCCUGUCGUUACGACAACAGAAACUUGUCAAAGGACUUGUAUGUGUAAUCAAGGACAUUCCAUUCCAGAGUUGUUUUCAGGAUGAUGAAAUCAGCAGGAUAGCAGACAUUGUCAUAAGGAAAGUACAAAGCUCGGAUGAUAUCAGCAGCAUUGCUGCCGAAACUGCCGACAUGAUUCAACAGUCCGAUGUGUCAGAUAGUGACACAUAUGAUAGAAGAAAGAAGGUUAUGAACGACUGGUAGUUCAUUGUUUCCCAAUUGGAGGAUUUCCUCUUAUCCACGGAAAUGCGAUCUAAAAAGAAGAGUGGUCGAAGUAAUUUUUAUGGAGACUGGUAGACUCUAAGCCUGUGGGAAUUUCAUUUCGUUAUUUUUGCUAUGAAAAGUCUUCUAAAUAUUCAUUGAAAGAUGCCAGAGAUCUAAAAAAAAAAUACACUAACUUGUACCUUAACAGAGUGGAAUUGCUCCAGUUGGACUGCACAAUGAUGCAUCACAGUGCGUUUGCAUGAUGUAUGGAAAGUUGACUACAAUAUUUUAUACGGAGACCACAAAAAAUAAUUCUGGAAAUUGCAAUGUAUUUACGUGUUGAUUGCAAAUAUGUUUCUUUAGCUUACGGACAGCUUGCAUUGCGUUCAUCUUUUUAACCAUUCCAAAUUCCCCGCAAUGUCUAGAGCAAGCCAGUGCAACAUUUUGAGCAAACCUUCAGUUGACGACUCUAUUUUAAAUUUAGCUCUCAUUGAUAGCUGUUUAAUAUCAUUCAGAGGAAAAGUUAACUGUUUUCCAUGAUAUAGCAGUCGAUUAACGACGUCCGAUGUUUCUUAUAAAACCAUGCAACCGAAGACACAAUGACUAUUUUACUACGAAGAAAUAUAUAUGUUCAAUUUUCAUAAAAUGGACAA